UUUAAACGAAUGGUUAUAGUCAUGCUGUAAAGAACAGAAACUGCUUUUUGUUAAUAAUUGGAAUCUUUUCUGGGAGCUAGGCUUUUUAGAUCUCCUGUUGGACAACAUCUCCAGGACACUUCGCUCCAUAUGACUAGGCAGUUUGUGAAAAGAGAUAAUCAAGAGAAGUCAGUUCCAGAUCCACCCUCCACACCAGACCUCUCUCUCACGAGGAUUGCUGUCUACUAGCAUAUUGUGUUCUUCAGCUCUUCAGACUUCGGUGGAUGCAGAUAUUACUCAGGGACAUGAACACUAGAAUAUUGCAAGAAUAGAGAAAAGGGACUUUGCGGGGGAUUCUUGAAAAUAGAUUAGCUUCACACAGACGUCUUCUAACUG